UUGGGCGUAAGCGCGCGCAGGCGGCUUCUUAAGUCUGAUGUGAAAGCCCACGGCUCAACCGUGGAGGGUCAUUGGAAACUGGGAGGCUUGAGUGCAGAAGAGGAGAGCGGAAUUCCACGUGUAGCGGUGAAAUGCGUAGAGAUGUGGAGGAACACCAGUGGCGAAGGCGGCUCUCUGGUCUGUAACUGACGCUGAGGCGCGAAAGCGUGGGGAGCGAACAGGAUUAGAUACCCUGGUAGUCCACGCCGUAAACGAUGAGUGCUAAAUGUUGGAGGGUUUCCGCCCUUCAGUGCUGCAGCUAACGCAUUAAGCACUCCGCCUGGGGAGUACGGUCGCAAGACUGAAACUCAAAGGAAUUGACGGGGGCCCGCACAAGCGGUGGAGCAUGUGGUUUAAUUCGAAGCAACGCGAAGAACCUUACCAGGUCUUGACAUCCCGCUGACCGGUCUGGAGACAGAUCUUUCCCUUCGGGGACAGCGGUGACAGGUGGUGCAUGGUUGUCGUCAGCUCGUGUCGUGAGAUGUUGGGUUAAGUCCCGCAACGAGCGCAACCCUUGAUCUUAGUUGCCAGCAUUUAGUUGGGCACUCUAAGGUGACUGCCGGUGACAAACCGGAGGAAGGUGGGGAUGA
rnacentral:rRNA from 1 species